GUGGUCACUUUUAUUACUACAACUUGUUUACCAGAAAGGAAGAAGGCCUGUUGAUCCAUGUGCUCUGAAAGAAGCCCUUUUUGUUGUGUUUUCUUUAAUCUAAGUGCGAAAAGGGGAAAACAGCAUCGUCUGUAAGUACUGUUCUAAUUUGCUUGUCAUAUAAAUCAUAAUUUGUAACCCGUUGACAUGUUUAUGUGAAGAUGGACAUUUUUACUUGUGUCAGCCCAAUGUGUUAGCCUAGCUGGCAUUCAUUUUCUGUACCUUUGUGUGUUACAGUUUUACACGAUUCUCAUUAAACCCUGCUAAAGAACCAAAUGGAGUGCUUCUUGGUGGACGGAUGGGAAAGUGUUUAUCUACCUGUAUAGCUGAGUUACUGCUGAAAGUCACAGUGCUUAGCGAGGCCAGGACAGUAAAAAGACGUAGUAAAAAGACAUCCCAUGCAGAAAAGACAAAGGAAAAAGACAACUUCUGAGCCAUGGACAACAAAGAUAAUGAACAGAAGGCAAGUGAUGAGCAAUCAAAUAAGGACAUGGAUCAAAAUACAGUGUACCACGUCCGUUCCAUAGCCUCACGGUCAUCUACGUGCUUCUCAGUCAGUUUGGCCGCAGCUAAAGCAAGAGCUAAGGCUGAAGCAGCUAAAGCUCAAUUGGAGUUUCAUGAAAAAGAGACACAUAUUCAGAUUGAGAAGGUAAAACUUGAAGCAUCACUGCGUGCACUCACUCUUCAAAAGGAAGUUACAGCUACUAAUGCUGAAGCAAAAGUAUUUGAGGCAGUAGCAGCAGACAUAGAAGAAGGAAAAUGCAGUGAGACAUCCGAGCGCAGCCCUGUAGCCAUACAAACACUGAAAAGGACAGAAGACUAUGUAAAAGAGCAGUCAUCUUACUUCAGUCAAUACAACUACAACAAGGAUGAGGGGACUCACUCACACCCACCUAACACUAUGCCCAAUGCUGUUAACAUGCAACAAUAUACAGUACCUAUGCCUGCUGCUGUAACCACGCAACAAUACGCAGCAUCAGAUGAAUUCAAGUCUCUUCCCAUUCAUCAGCUAGAUGUGACAGGAGGGCACGUUGAACAAUCCCCCAACUUUAACUCUUACCAUGGAGGUGACACAAUGCACAACGUUAAUGUGAAAACUGCUGUCCCUACCUCUAACGUAAACUCAGGAAAUCCCACAUUUGACCUGGCAAGGUUUUUAGCACGCAACCAAGUCAUAACAUCUGGUCUAGUCAAAUUUGAUGACACUGCAGAACAUUAUCAAGCAUGGCGAGCUUCCUUCAUCAGUGCUAUAGAACCACUAGGGCUGACACCUAGUGAAGAAGUUGAUCUGAUGGUGAAAUGGCUUGGCAAGGAGUCAAGUGAGCAUGCGGCCAGAAUAAGAGUAGUUAAUGUUAACCGGCCUAUGGAUGGACUAAAAGCAAUAUGGGCAAGACUGGACAAAAUAUAUGGCUCACCAGAGGCAAUUGAAAAUGCUCUUUUCUCAAGACUUGAAGCUUUUCCCAAAAUCCAAUCCAGAGAUAACCACAAACUUCAAGAGCUAGCAGAUCUUCUAGAAGAGCUCCAGAUUGCAAAGCAAAGUGACAAGUUGUGUGGUUUAGCCUAUUUGGACACGGCUAGAGGUGUCGGGCCUAUUGUAGAGAAGCUCCCCUACCCUCUACAGGAACGCUGGAUGUCACAAGGUUCUAGAUUUAAAAGAGAUUAUAACGUGUCUUUCUCACCAUUUUCCUUCUUCAAAGAAUUUGUGUGCUCAGAAGCUGAAGUAAGGAAUGAUCCAAGUUUUAAGACUCUCUCACUCACGUGUGCUCCUCAGAGAAAGGAAAAAUGUGCACCAGUCAGACACCCAGUUGCUGUCAAUAAAACAAAUGUCACACAAGAUCAAAUAAGCACUCCUGUCAAAUCAACAGAGAAAAUCCCUGUUAACCCAGAAAAACAAUGCCCUAUCCAUAACAAACCGCACCCAUUGAGUAAGUGCAGAGGAUUUGUUAAAAUGACUCUUGAUGAACGCAAAAAACUUCUCAAAGAACACACGAUCUGCUAUCGCUGCUGUGCUUCUACAAGUCAUAUGGCCAAAAACUGUCAAGCUCCAAUCAAAUGUUUUGAAUGUGCAAGUGACAAACAUGUUAGUGCCAUGCAUUUCAGUGGAACAAGCGCAGUUCAAUCCUCAAGUCAACCCCCACCGUGUGCAGAGGACGGCGGGGAGGAAGAGACGAAACAGGCAUAGGACACUGUGGCAUAGGACAAAGUGGUAAAUCGUGUUCCAAGAUUAUUCUGGUUAACGUGUAUCCCUCAGGUCAACAGCAGAGGAGUAUGAGGAUGUAUGCAGUUCUGGAUGACCAGAGCAAUCUCUCCCUGGCAAGAAGUGAGUUUUUUGAUAAGUUUGACAUACACGGCACUGAGGCUCCUUACAGCAUUACAACGUGUAUGGGCGCAACACAAGCAUAUGGAAGGAGAGCCCAUGGUUAUGUGAUAGAGUUUCUAGACAAAGAAACAUGUCUGCAGCUUCCCACAUUGAUUGAAUGUGACAAUCUCCCUAACAACAGGAAAGAAAUCCCAACACCGGAAGUGGCCUAUCACCACAACCACCUGAACAAAAUAGCUUCAGAAAUCCCUCCUCUCAACCCCAAUGCUGAGAUUCUCCUGCUGAUAGGAAGAGACCUGUUGAGAGUGCACAAAGUACGGAAACAGAUAAACAGACUGAAUAAAUGAACCAUUUGCACAAAAAUUGGAUCUCGGCUGGGUGGUAGUCGGUGAUGUCUGUGUCAAUGGAAUGCAUGGGCCUCCAACAGUGAGCAGCAUGAAGACAUACAUAUCUGACAGUGGCAGACCUACAUUUUUAGGGUGUGAGAACAAAAAUAAAAGUAAGAGACUUGUACACAGAAACAUCAGACACACUUUCGGUGUUUUCAAGAACAAUUCAUGAUCACCAGUUAGCUCCCUCUAUUGAAGACAAACGCUUCUUGGAAAUAAUGGAAAAAGGCUUUCUCCAAGAUGAUUCAAAUAGCUGGGUCGCCCCUCUCCCAUUCCGGCAUCCUCGUCGCAAGUUACCUAAUAACAGAGAAUAUGCAGAGAAACAUUUUGCCUCUCUGGAAUGCAAUCUUCAGAAGAAACCUGAAAUGAAAAGGCACUUUUUGGCGUUUAUGCAAAGGCUGUUUAAUAAUCAUCACGCUGAGCUUGCUCCACCACUCGAAGAAAAGGAAAGGUGAUACUUACCCACUUUUGGAGUUUAUCAUCCGCAAAAGCCCAGCCAAAUACGUGUCGUGUUUGAAUCAUCAGCACAGUUUGACGGCGUCUCACUGAAUGACGUUUUGCUGCAGGGUCCAGACCUAAGUAACAGUCUACUUGGAGUUCUGAUGAGAUUCAGAAUAGGCCCAAUCGGAGUUUUAGCAGAUAUAGAGCAGAUGUUCCACUGCUUUGUGGUUCAAGAAGAGUGCAGAGACAUGCUCAGGUUUUUGUGGUACCACGACAAUCAGCCAGGGAACGAAGUGGUUGAAUACCGCAUGAGGGUUCACAUAUUUGGGAACAGUCCAUCACCUGCAAUCGCCAUUUAUGGCCUACGGAGGGCAGCAAAGGAAAUGGAGCAAGUCUAUGGCAGCAAAACAACAGAGUCAGUGGAGAGACAUUUUUACAUGGACGACGCAGUGCUGUCUUUCACAUCAGAAGCCGAGGCCACUGUCAGUAACAGAGUACAGCGCAUCAGACAAGUGUCUCAGCCUAAUCAGUGGAGAUUUGUGCCCACCGAACUCAAUCCAACAGAUUGUGGCUCGACAUCAGUUGCAGCAGAAGAGCUUGUCAACACCCUCUGGUUAACUGGACCAAGAUUCCUCACAGACACGAUCUCGACGAAGAUUGGUUCAGACGAACAAUACUUGCUUAUCAAUCCAGAUGAUGACAGGUCAGGGUGAACGCCACCAAUGUGGUAACAGAGUCAUCAACUCACAAACUAUUUUCAAGUCGCUUUGAACAUUUUUCAAACUGGAAAUCUCUCCUGAAAGCGGUUGCCAGACUCAUUCACAUCGCUCAAAGCUUCUCAAACAAAAACAGCAACAGCUGUCGAGGUUGGUGUUACUGCAACAACAUCUCAUCUUCAGAAAUGGAUAAAGCGGAGCGACUGAUCAUUCACACAGUGCAACAACAGUGCUUCUCACAGGAAAUCUCUGCAGUCAGGAAAGACCAAAGUCUAUCAAAGAACAGCCCUAUUCUCAGACUCAAUCCAUUCAUCGACAAUGAGGGGCUCCUAAGAGUUGGAGGACGUUUGCAGCAUUCUAUGUUACAAAGAAACGAGUCAAAUCCGAUCAUAAUACCCAACAAACACCACAUUGCAACUCUGCUAGUGCGUCAUCAUCACGAGAGAGUGAAAUACCAGGGAAGGCAUCUAACAGAAGGAGCCGUUCGCACCAGUGGACUGUGGUUGGUUGGAGGUAAGCGGCUCAUAAGCACCAUCAUUCACAAGUGUGUGUUGCAGAAAGCUAUGUGGACUGUCAGAACAACAGCUUAUGUCUGACCUACCUGAAGAAAGGCUCAAAGUGGACCCACCAUUCUCAUAUGUGGGCCUGGAUGUCUUUGGCCCGUGGGAGAUUGUGACAAAACGUACAAGAGGAGGCCAACUAAACAACAAAAGGUGGGCAGUGUUGUUCACAUGCAUGUCUACCAGGGUUGAGGUUGUGGAAACAAUGACUGCCUCAAGCUUUAUCAAUGCUCUCCGGAGAUUCUUUUCACUCCGCGGACCAGCCAAGCAACUCAGGUCUGACAGAGGGACCAACUUUAUUGGCGCCUGUAAUGAGCUGAAACUAUCACCGCAAGAUGCCAAUAACAUGAUCAAAGAUUAUCUAACAGAACAGAGGUGCACAUGGGAAUUCAACCCGCCCCAUGCGUCCCACAUGGAAUUUGGGAAAGAAUGAUUGGGGUUUCUCGCCGCAUUCUAGAUGCUCUACUCCUAGAUGUGAAGCAACCUCAGCUCACCCACGAAGUUUUGGUGACCUUCAUGGCAGAGGUCACAGCUAUCGUUAAUGCCAGACCCCUUGUGUCGAUUUCCACAGACCCUGAAGCUCCACUGGUCUUAACUCCAGCUAUGCUUCUUACUCAGAAAACAGGAGCUCCUCCUCCAGUUCCAGACAACCUGACAGAGAAGGAUGUCUUCAAGAGUCAAUGGAAGAAAGUUCAGAUACUAGCCAACAACUUUUGGACAAGAUGGCAGAAAGAAUAUCUCUGCACCAUUCAAGGUCGUCAAAAGUGGCUCGUAAAGAAAACAAAUCUCAAGGAAGGAGAUGUUGUCCUCCUGAGGGAUUCCACUGCUAAGCGCAACGAGUGGCCCAUGGGACUUGUUGUUAAGACAUACCCCAGCAAGGACGGGCUUGUGAGAAAAGUGGAUGUUAAAGUUGCAAAACAUCAGGGUGUAAAGACAUUCAGCCGACCAAUCUCAGAAUUGAUUCUUCUAUUGACACCUAGUAAUGUGGACAUUUGAUUUAGUGGCAUCUCUUAAAGACGCCAGGCGGGGAGUGUAGUGAAACCUGUUUAUUUUAAUGUUAUUCAACAUGAAGUUCACCUGCUGAGGCCACCUAGUGGCAAAUGUUAUAAUUUUGUCUAUUGCUGGUUCACUGACGCCAUCUUGUGGUCACUUUUAUUACUACAACUUGUUUACCAGAAAGGAAGAAGGCCUGUUGAUCCAUGUGCUCUGAAAGAAGCCCUUUUUGUUGUGUUUUCUUUAAUCUAAGUGCGAAAAGGGGAAAACAGCAUCGUCUUUUUACACGAUUCUCAUUAAACCCUGCUAAAGAACCAAAUGGAGUGCUUCUUGGUGGACGGAUGGGAAAGUGUUUAUCUACCUGUAUAGCUGAGUUACUGCUGAAAGUCACAGUGCUUAGCGAGGCCAGGACAUACACAGAGGCAGAAUAAGAUCCAAAGUCACUUUUUACACUCCUUCCGCUUCUUUAAGCUGCAGGAAAAAAAUUA